GAGGUGCGGCGGCGGUGGUGGCGGACGACAUGGAGGCGGCGAGUCGGACGGCGUGGAGGCGGCCGGCCGGACCUCGCCUCCACCAGAUCCGGCGGCAUGAAGGCGGCUGCGGCCGGCGGGAGGGGCGGCGGCCCGGACGGCGUGGAGGCGGGCGGUGGUGGCCUCCGUUUUUUUUCUUUUUUUUUUUUUGCAAAUUUUUUCCAUCGCUAUUGCUAACCUAAUCGGAUUGCUUAUGGACGAAAACUCGGACGAAAUUAGAUGUGACGACCGAAAAAAUACGAAUAUUUAUAUUAGUUAUAUUAUAUAUAGAUAUAGAUUAAUUUUUUCUAUAAACCUCGUACCCUUGUUUCGGACAAAUUUAGAACAGAUUGGAUCAGAUAUUAUCCCAUCCAUUUGCGCUGACAUGUGAUACAGCCGUUGCUGCAGCCAGAGCCAGCGGCAUGACGAGCGGCUGACAGGUGGGCCCACAUGUCAGCUGUUUUGCGCUUCUGCUCCUUCCGCCCCAAAACCCCCGAUCCCCCCUUCCUUCAAGCGGUCGCCGGUGGCGGCGAUUUCCGCCUUUUUCUGCGGCGGCGGCGGCGGCAUUCGCAUGGCGCACUCAGUCGCCGGCACCGCACCGGGGUCUCCUCCAUCGGCGAGUUCUCGUCGCCCCCCUCGCUCCUCCGUUCUGUAAUCCGCGCGGAACCAUCGGGCCGAUAUCAUCUUGCAAGAUUCCCCCAUUGGAUUUACGGUCAAAUCGGAGAAGCACAUGCAGCACAUCUUUCAUUGAUGGCCGCAUUGAAGGAUGCUCCCCAGUACAAAUCACAGCAAGUGUAAACACCUCCAAUGCGUCCUCAACAUGGGUUGGGUCUCUGAUCCCCUCAUCGAGAAGAUCAACUGACAAACCAUAUUCUUGGUACUGCCUCCAUGCCCAUUGUGCCAAGCAAUAGUACUCUCCACCAUCAUUUGCCACUCGACCAGUUAUGAUUUCCAGAAGGACCACACCAAAGCUGUAGACAUCGAUCUUCUCGUUUACCUUGAGCCGAUGUCCGUAUUCUGCAAAGUGUAAACAAUUUAGUGUUUCAGGUAAUAUGCAAGUAUAUACUCAUCAAAGUUACUCUUUUUCUCUCUGACCUGGUGCCAUGUAGCCAAAAGUUCCAGCUAUAGCAGAAAAUGACUCGUCGUCUCCAGCUUUGAGAAGAAUCUUUGCAAGCCCAAAAUCUGCCAUCUUUGCUCUGAAGUUGUGAUCCAGAAGGAUGUUGGCACACUUGACAUCUCGAUGCACUAUGGGAGGCGAGCAAUGGUGAUGCAUGUAGCAAAGACCUCUCGCUGAGUCGAUGGCAAUUUGCAAUCUUGUUGGCCAAUCCAGAGGUCCUGGCGCACCAAUUCUUUCCCUCUGGUGAAGCCAUUGAUGUAGGCUGCCGUUUUCCAUGUACUCAUAGACAAGAAGCUUUGCAUCUGAACUUGAGAUGCAGCAGAGCAGCUUGACAAUGUUUGUGUGCCUGAUCUCUCCCAAUAUCUGAGCCUCUGCAAGGAAGUCCUUCUCCAGUUUGUCAUCAAGAUUCGGUGUGUUCCAUAUCUUUUUGACGGCCACCAUCCUUCCACCACUUGCUCUAUCCCCAGCAUAAACCCGGUACACCUUGCCAGACCUGCCACUUCCAAUCCAAUUCUGCUCGUAGAGCCCAGAAAGAAUGUUAGUUGUGGUGAAAUGCAAUAUGUGGAAUGGUGUUAGCUUCCAUGACAAGUGGUCUUGAAGCUUUUUUCUCCUUAAGAGCAUGAUACCAAGCACUGCUGAACCCAAAAGCAUGAUGCUGGCAACAGCAGAAAAGAGGGCUAUAAGCCUCCUAAAUAGAUCAUUGCCGUUUGUUCUUGCCCUGCAGAUAGGGAAAUUAUGAACUGAAUUGUUUGAUGAUACACAGAGGCCUGGGUUGAAUAGAAAGCUUUGUUCAUAUGCUUCGUUUUGCAGUGAUAUCGGAAUUUCCCCGAUGAGUUGGUUCAUAGAGAGAUUCAGAAAAUUGAGCCUCAGCUUAUUAAAAUCCUUUGGGAUUUCACCUGAUAAUUUAUUCGACGAGAGAUCAAGGAUGGUUAGUACUGUCAUAAACCCAAACGCCGCUGGGAUAUUACCAGAUAUCUGAUUUCCACUUAGGUUAAGUGUGUUUAGCCUCGCCAGCACUCCAAUUGUCAUGGGUAGUGAGCCACUAAUUUGAUUCCUAGAGAGGUCAACUUCUGUGACCUGAGAAAUGCCUGUCAGAUCCCAGGGAAUUUCACCAGACAGCAAGUUGUUUGCUGCUAUGAAUACUUUCAUUUUUCCUGCCAAUGUUGGAAUAGGACCUGAGAAUUUGUUGUUGCUGAUGUCAAGACGUGUAAAGUUCCAUGGGAGCUGUUUGGGGAAUGUGCCAGAGAACCUGUUGUUUUGUAUCAUAACUGUACUUAGCUGAUUUGUCACCACUGACCAAAGACUCUUGGGGAACUCUCCAGAAAAAUUGUUGUUGUACAUCAUCAAAUUGUUCAACAGAUAGCAGCCGUCCAAUGACGAUGGAAGUUUUCCAGAAAAGCUGUUAUUGAACACAACAAUGUCAUAUAGCUUCCUGUUGAAGCAGAGGCCUUCUGGUAGCUUCCCAGAGAGGUUAUUAUUGGAGACCUCAAGAUUGGCCAGUGGUGAGUGCUUACCAAGCUCUGGUGGGAGUGAUCCAGAGAGCAUGUUACCGAAUAACCGAAUGUCAGUAAGCUUUGGCAGCAGCCCAACGCUUGGUGGUAUUGAUCCACUCAGCUUGUUAAAGUAGAGAAACAGUAAGGUAAGGUUGGUAAGCUUACCAAAUCCAUUUGGUAUGGUUCCUAUUAAUUCGUUUGAAGAAACAUCAAUCUCCACCAAGUUCAAGGCACUGACAUUGGGUUCAAUCUCACCGGUGAAUCCGUUUGCAUACAGGUACAAAUUCUGAAGUUUCUUAUGUUGCCAGAUCCACGUUGGAAUUUUUCCUUGCAGCUUGUUUGAUGAAAAAUCCAAGAGGUUGAGCUCUCUGAGGCUGGACAAGUUUUCAGGGAUUUCACCGGUAAUAUUCAUAUUUGACAGCCACAAGUAAGUCAGACGUGUCAACCUACCAAACUCCACUGGAAAGGGAGCCGGUACAAAUGGAUUGACUGCUAGUGUCAGCCUCUCAAGGUCAGCAAGAUUGCUGAUAUCCUCAGCUGGGUACCUCCCAUCAAACUGAUUGGUGUCAAGGAGCAGUGACUUCAGCCUUGGGAACAGUCCAAUUGAUGGUGGAAUUCUGCCUGUGAAGUGAUUAGAUGAUAGGUUGAGAUGCUCGAGCAGUGCUGAUAGAUGAUUUAAGUCACUUGGGAGUUGUCCAUCAAAUGCGUUGUUGGAAAGAUCUAGGAACUUGAGAUUGGAGCAAUUGUAGAGCAUGGUAGGGAAUGAAGUGGAGAAAUUGUUGUAGGAAAGGUCCAAGCGGGUGAGGUUCUUUAGGAGACAAAUGGAGGGAGGAAUUGGUUUGAUGAAGGUUUGAUUUGGUAGAGAGAUGCCAAUCACCGCACCAUUUGUGCAUGUAAUUCCUUCCCAGUUGCAGUGAGCAGUAGUAGUGGAGUUCCAUCUACCUAGCGCAGGUGAGCUCCCCCAAUGGUUCUUGAGCUCAAGGAGGAUUUGGUGUUCUUCAUUAGAUUGAUUUGUGGACUUUGGGUAGGAUUUGUGCAGCAGAGAAAAUGAUAUCACAAAGAACAGGAAGAAGUUCACAUACCGUUUGUUGGCCAUCUCUGCUGAAUCCUUUUGGCUGGAAAUCUCUUGCCAGGAGAGGAGGAAUGCAUGGGUGUUUUGGGUGUUUAGCUAUAAUCUCCAAUGCAAGUGGAUGCUAUUGUAUUGUCACCAGUCACUGUGAAUUCCUUUUAGAAUUGGGCAUAUACUGGCAAGUCAUCCAUUCGACUAUUUGAUUUUGAGCUAACAUGGAAGCCUUGCUGUUAAUGCCUUUGUUUAUGUGGUCCUCCCAGCUCCAACGCAUCGUUAGUGUCUGAUGACAUGGAUGACUUGGAACAAUGGAACCAUUAUGACCUUUGGGCGAGGGAGAAUUUACCACUUCUGCUUUGGAACAGUUUAGACAUGAACAGGGAUUUUUACACUUGCCUGUGUAAACUACACGUCUUUGAGAAAAUUUCAGGUAAUUUAUACUGCUUCAUACAAAACAAAGUGCUACCUAGUUCAAGUUACUGUCUUGUUGAAUAUUAUGGGUCGUGGUGUAAAUCUUCUCUGUUUGAUUAAAGAUUGUGGGGUGGGGUAAAAUUGAACCGACAUUAGUUGCUUGGAGUAACCUAUGUCCUAACUGUCAGUCCACUUAUAUGAAGUUCAUAUGGUAACCGCUUUGGCAUCCUGCUGAGAUAAUGUUCAAUUGGCUGUUGCUACU